rnacentral:rRNA from 1 species
UACGGGGGGAGCAAGCGUUGUUCGGAUUUACUGGGCGUAAAGGGCGCGUAGGCGGUCAGCACAAGUCAGUUGUGAAAUCUCCGGGCUUAACUCGGAAAGGUCAACUGAUACUGUGCGACUAGAGUGCAGAAGGGGCAACUGGAAUUCUCGGUGUAGCGGUGAAAUGCGUAGAUAUCAGGAGGAACACCGGUGGCGAAGGCGGGUCUCUGGGCCGAAAUUGACGCUGAGGAGCGAAAGCGUGGGGAGCAAACAGG